rnacentral:rRNA from 1 species
GCUUACGGCCAUACCAACCUGGCUAUGCCCGAUCUCGUCUGCUCUCGGAAGCUAAGCAGGUUUGGGCCUGGUUAGUACUUGGAUGGGAGACCGCCUGGGAAUACCAGGUGCUGUAAUCU